rnacentral:rRNA from 1 species
GAUGAACGCUGGCGGCGUGCCUAAUACAUGCAAGUCGAGCGAACAGACGAGGAGCUUGCUCCUCUGACGUUAGCGGCGGACGGGUGAGUAACACGUGGAUAACCUACCUAUAAGACUGGGAUAACUUCGGGAAACCGGAGCUAAUACCGGAUAAUAUAUUGAACCGCAUGGUUCAAUAGUGAAAGACGGUUUUGCUGUCACUUAUAGAUGGAUCCGCGCCGCAUUAGCUAGUUGGUAAGGUAACGGCUUACCAAGGCGACGAUGCGUAGCCGACCUGAGAGGGUGAUCGGCCACACUGGAACUGAGACACGGUCCAGACUCCUACGGGAGGCAGCAGUAGGGAAUCUUCCGCAAUGGGCGAAAGCCUGACGGAGCAACGCCGCGUGAGUGAUGAAGGUCUUCGGAUCGUAAAACUCUGUUAUUAGGGAAGAACAAAAGUGUAAGUAACUAUGCACGUCUUGACGGUACCUAAUCAGAAAGCCACGGCUAACUACGCG